rnacentral:rRNA from 1 species
UACGAAGGGUGCAAGCGUUACUCGGAAUUACUGGGCGUAAAGCGUGCGUAGGUGGUUUGUUAAGUCUGUUGUGAAAGCCCCGGGCUCAACCUGGGAAUGGCAAUGGAUACUGGCAAGCUAGAGUGCGGUAGAGGGUAGUGGAAUUCCUGGUGUAGCAGUGAAAUGCGUAGAUAUCAGGAGGAACACCGAUGGCGAAGGCAGGUCUCUGGGCUGACACUGACGCUCAUGCACGAAAGCGUGGGGAGCAAACAGG